rnacentral:rRNA from 1 species
UAGUGAGUUUGAUCCUGGCUCAGAACGAACGCUGGCGGCAGGCCUAACACAUGCAAGUCGAGCGAGGACUUCGGUCCUAGCGGCGGACGGGUGAGUAACGCGUGGGAACGUGCCCUUUGCUACGGGAUAGCCCUGGGAAACUGGGAGUAAUACCGUAUGUGCCCUUCGGGGGAAAGAAUUUCGGCAAAGGAUCGGCCCGCGUUGGAUUAGGUAGUUGGUGGGGUAAUGGCCUACCAAGCCGACGAUCCAUAGCUGGUUUGAGAGGAUGAUCAGCCACACUGGGGACUGAGACGCGGCCCAGACUCCUACGGGAGCAGCAGUGGGGAAUCUUGGACAAUGGGCGAAAGCUGAUCCAGCCAUGCCGCGUGAGGGGA